AACGAACGCUGGCGGCAUGCCUAACACAUGCAAGUCGAACGAUCCCUUCGGGGAUAGUGGCGCACGGGUGCGUAACGCGUGGGAAUCUGCCCUUGGGUUCGGAAUAACAGUGAGAAAUUACUGCUAAUACCGGAUGAUGUCUUCGGACCAAAGAUUUAUCGCCCAAGGAUGAGCCCGCGUAGGAUUAGCUAGUUGGUGGGGUAAUGGCCUACCAAGGCGACGAUCCUUAGCUGGUCUGAGAGGAUGAUCAGCCACACUGGGACUGAGACACGGCCCAGACUCCUACGGGAGGCAGCAGUGGGGAAUAUUGGACAAUGGGCGAAAGCCUGAUCCAGCAAUGCCGCGUGAGUGAUGAAGGCCUUAGGGUUGUAAAGCUCUUUUACCCGGGAUGAUAAUGACAGUACCGGGAGAAUAAGCUCCGGCUAACUCCGUG
rnacentral:rRNA from 1 species